UCCGGUUGAUCCUGCCAGAGGUUACUGCUAUCGAGAUUCGACUAAGCCAUGCGAGUUGAAUGUUCUUCGUGAACAUGGCGGACUGCUCAGUAACACGUGGACAACCUACCCUUGGGUCCGGCAUAAUCCUGGGAAACUGGGAAUAAUUCCGGAUAGGUCACCGAUGCUGGAAUGCGCGGUGGCCGAAAGCUCCGGCGCCCGAGGAUGGGUCUGCGGCCUAUCAGGGUUGUAGUGGGUGUAACGUACCUACUAGCCUACGACGGGUACAGGUUGUGAGAGCAAGAGCCCGGAGAUGGAUUCUGAGACACGAAUCCAGGCCCUACGGGGUGCAGCAGGCGCGAAAACUUUACAAUGCGGGAAACCGUGAUAAGGGGAUCUCGAGUGCCAGCAUAUAAUGUUGGCUGUCCAGAUGCCUAAAAAGCAUCUGUUAGCAAGGGCCGGGCAAGACCGGUGCCAGCCGCCGCGGUAACACCGGCGGCCCGAGUGGUAACCGCUAUUAUUGGGUCUAAAGGGUCUGUAGCCGGCCAGGUAAGUCCCUUGGGAAAUCUGGCAGCUCAACUGUCAGGCUGCUAGGGGAUACUGUUUGGCUUGGGACCGGGAGAGGUGAGAGGUACCUUGGGGGUAGGGGUGAAAUCUUGUGAUCCUCGAGGGACCACCAGUGGCGAAGGCGUCUCACCAGAACGGGUCCGACGGUAAGGGACGAAAGCUAGGGGCACGAACCGGAUUAGAUACCCGGGUAGUCCUAGCCGUAAACGAUGCUCGCUAGGUGUCAGUCACGGUGCGACCGUGAUUGGUGCCGUAGGGAAGCCGUGAAGCGAGCCACCUGGGAAGUAUGGCCGCAAGGCUGAAACUUAAAGGAAUUGGCGGGGGAGCACUACAACGGGUGGAGCCUGCGGUUUAAUUGGAUUCAACGCCGGAAAUCUCACCGGGGGCGACAGCGAUAUGAAGGUCAGGCUGAAGACUUUACCGGAUUAGCUGAGAGGUGGUGCAUGGCCGUCGUCAGUUCGUACUGUGAAGCAUCCUGUUAAGUCAGGUAACGAGCGAGACCC
rnacentral:rRNA from 1 species